ensembl:processed_transcript
UCAUGAAGAACUGUGCUGUGAGAAGCCUUUACUGAACUACUGACUUGUGCUUAAGGACCCUUCUGGCUCGUCUGCCCUGCUGCUGCUGUGUCUAUGUAGUUCUGUAUUUUCAGCUGGAGCCCUCUCCAUGAGUAGCCUUGCACGACUGUUCAUGCUGACAUGAUCUGUGGCUGCAGCAGUGGCUGGAGCACUGUCCCUUUCAAGAGCUGGUCCUUGCACUGCUAUGCAGAUGGCCGCUUACUCAUCCUGGAAAUAAUUGGAGACAAUUUCAGUGAGAAACAAAGACUACUGCCAGUCCCAGAGGCUCUGCAUGGCUUUGGAAGACAAGUUUCUAUAUCAUGGUUUUGUAACAAUGGUACAUUAUAUUUUUUUAAAAUUGAGUUUCUCACCAAUCCCUCAAAACAAUCCAUUAAAAUGUGCUUACUCGU